GAUUUGUCUGGUUAAUUCCGAUAACGAACGAGACCUUAACCUGCUAACUAGUUUCUAAUACCUUAUAUUUGUUAACUUCUUAGAGGGACUAUGUGAAACAACUACAUGGAAGUUUGAGGCAAUAACAGGUCUGUGAUGCCCUUAUAUGUCCUGGGCUGCACGCGUGCUACACUGAUGCAUACAACAAGUGCCUAGUCAGACAUGGUAUGGCAAUCUCGAAUAUGCAUCGUGAUGGGGAUAGAUCUUUGCAAUUAUAGAUCUUGAACGAGGAAUUCCUAGUAAGUGCAAGUCAUCAUCUUGCAUUGAUUAUGUCCCUGCCCUUUGUACACACCGCCCGUCGCUCCUACCGAUACCGGGUGAUCCGGUGAACCUUUUGGACCUUUACAGGAAAGAUAAGUAAACCAUAUCACCUAGAGGAAGGAGAAGUCGUAACAAGGUUUCCGUAGGUGAACCUGCRGAAGGAUCA
rnacentral:rRNA from 1 species